AAGUCGUAACAAGGUUUCCGUAGGUGAACCUGCGGAAGGAUCAUUUCCAAAAAAAACCUUUUUGCUCUCCUCUUUUCUCUUUUUUGAGCAUAUAUACUCAAAAAGCGGAAAAGGGAGCAAAAAAAAAUUUCAUACAAACACCACCAGCAAUGGUAUGGCAUUCUACCUCAUAUACAUUCUAACAAUUCUUUACGAACAAACAAACACACAACUUUUAACAACGGAUCUCUUGGCUCUC
rnacentral:misc_RNA from 1 species